GUGUUUCGAGUUCCUCCGGAACACCCGGGAUUUUUCGUAUUUAGCCACGCCGGUCACGUGAUAUGAGCAAAAUGUUCCACAGGGGUACUUCCGGUUAAUUUUGUUUACACUGGUAACAAAAUUGUUUUUGACAAAAUAUAGAUUUUGCGGCACAAACUGUCGCAAAUCAGAUAAAGGAUAGCAAGGGAUAUAUAUUUACUUGGGAAGAUGUCAAAGUUUACCUUUUCCCACACCCGGGAAAAGCGUUCACGCAGAGGAAACGAUGGCGUCAUUUGUGUAGAAAACCACGACCAGCCGAAAUUGAGUGCGAUUAUUACAUUCCGUGAAAGCUGAACCAACAAAGAAACAUCAUUGUUCUAGCCAGUUUCCUUAUAUUAACUUUUAGGAAAACCAAGAGGUUGAUAACAAUGGCUGAUCUGCAUAUAAUAACUGCUAGUUAUUGGCUGGUAUGCAGUGAAAGGGAGCUAAAAAGGAGUAAAAAGUUCAUAUCAGCCAGGUAGUGUGGCUUAAAUAAACCAGUGUUAAGGAAUAUCCAGUAAUGGCAUGACAUCAUGAGAGUUUGGCAUACCGACAUUCAGAUGAUUAAUGAUGAAACUGAAGACCUCAGGUGAAAGGCAUGGAAAAUGAUCCUGUUCCCAUAUACCUGAAAAAGAGGAGGGAUGCCACAAUAUUGAUAAUAGACUUUUGUCAAUUUGAGAAGCAAAGAUGUAAAAAAAAAAAAAAAAAAUAAUAAUGCUGAAAUUAUAAUUCAUGUAUUUGUUAAAAAUACUGUUCACUGUACAUACAUGUAUAUUUUUUUUUAACUUAUUUGGAAAUACAUGAAGUAAUUCAUAUUAAAACUGUGAAUGUAUGAGUUUUCAUGAUUUUAUUUAUAUUUAAGUCAAUUCACCUUUUUCAAACUUUUGAUGCAUAUGAUGGAUUUCCUCUGCAUUGCUAUAUCUAUCAGGCCCAGCACAAUCUCUAUAUUUAGCUAUAUAGUUUUAUAAAGCUAUUUCAAACAGCUUCAUUAAGCUAGUUUCGAUUAAAUUUCUUAAGUGCAAUGACACAUAACAAUAUACAUGUACUUUGAACUAACUACAACACUAUUCUAGGUAUAGAUCAUAUGUCAUUUUAAGAAUUUUCAUGAAAAGAGAAUUUCUUUUGUAUUGAUAACUGUCCACUACCUUGUGUGUGUCGAAGCUUUGAUAAGUAUAUGAUGACUUUACAAUGUGGAAUCUGUAACAACUUAAUAAUCCUAAACAUUUGACAAUUUUGAAUCAAAAUUCUUCCUAAGGUACAUAGUUUAAGAA